rnacentral:rRNA from 1 species
AUUGAACGCUGGCGGCAUGCUUUACACAUGCAAGUCGAACGGUAACAGGCCUUCGGGUGCUGGCGAGUGGCGCACGGGUGAGUAAUGCAUCGGAACGUACCCAGAGGUGGGGGAUAACGCAGCGAAAGCUGUGCUAAUACCGCAUGUGAUCUGAGGAUGAAAGCGGGGGACCGAGCAGCAAUGUUUGGCCUCGCGCCUUUGGAGCGGCCGAUGUCGGAUUAGCUAGUUGGUGGGGUAAAGGCCUACCAAGGCGACGAUCCGUAGCUGGUCUGAGAGGACGACCAGCCACACUGGGACUGAGACACGGCCCAGACUCCUACGGGAGGCAGCAGUGGGGAAUUUUGGACAAUGGGCGCAAGCCUGAUCCAGCAAUGCCGCGUGCGGGAAGAAGGCCUUCGGGUUGUAAACCGCUUUUGGCAGGAACGAAACGGUGUCCGCUAAUACCGGGCGCUAAUGACGGUACCUGCAGAAUAAGCACCGGCUAACUACGUG